GAUCUAGUGGCCAAGCCAUAUCCACCUUGUUUGGGAUCUAUAACAGCAAUAGAAAAAUGUAUGAAAACUUCCAUUGAUUUAGUUCCAGAGUUUCUACUACACUUACUGGUUCCUAUCCUCCACAGACUCUUUUACUGGCAGUCACCUGGCAUCCUGUGAAAUAUUACUGCUUUCGUCUUCAAAGAGCACUAGCUUCAGAAGAGGCCGCACAGUGAUUGUGGUGGAUCAAGAGAAAAAGAACAACUCUCUACAGUCAGAUGGUGCUCACACCUGAGGUUCAAAGAAGACUCAGGAUUCCUUGAAGGAGGAGCCCAAAAUCAGCAACAGGUAGCAGCACAGCAUCCAAAGCCACCCACCUCCAAGCUUUCCCUUGGGCUGAACUGUUUGGGUUCCUGUCUGUUCACAAGAUGAUGUCAACCUGUGUGGCACCCAGAAGACUCACCAACCCCUGAGAGAGUAGCCAACCAUGAGUGCCAGUGAGUGCCUGGUGGGACUGGUCUGGAAGAUGGAGAUAUGACAAGCAGUGGCAUCCACAGCCAAAGAAAACAUGUUAUGGUACUGCUGCUGUUGGUGAGUAACUGAACACAGAAAAAGUGUCUUUUUCUCAGGUAAAGUCACUAGAAAGAAAAUUUUUAUCUCUUCUGGGUGACAUUCUAGGGCAAUAUUGUGAUCAAUGGUUUGAUUCCACAGAAGGCAUUCUUGCACCUCUUAGAUGAUGUUGACACUACCCCUCAUGAUGUCAAUGCUUGCUAAAUGAUAAGAUGUUCUGGAUGGCUCGCAAGCCAGGCCUCUGCAGCUUGCUCCCUUUGCUAAGUUGACGGACACUAAUGAUUACAUAUGGACAGACCAAAAGUCUGGACUGACUUGGUUUCGUGACAAAACCAAGCCCUGUAUCUGCCAGAACUGGACCAAAGGCCUUUUGUAUCAAAUAUUUCACAACCUGUUUUGUUCUCACAGACUGGCAGGGACACAUGGAGAUGAAACUGUCCAUAUUA